UACGGAGGAUGCGAGCGUUAUCCGGAUUCAUUGGGUUUAAAGGGUGCGUAGGCGGUUUCUUAAGUCAGUGGUGAAAUCCUGCGGCUCAACCGUAGAACUGCCAUUGAUACUGAGAAACUUGAAUUUAGUUGAGGUAGGCGGAAUGAGUAGUGUAGCGGUGAAAUGCUUAGAUAUUACUCAGAACACCAAUUGCGAAGGCAGCUUACCAAGCUACGAUUGACGCUGAUGCACGAAAGCGUGGGGAGCGAACAGG
rnacentral:rRNA from 1 species